CAAGUCGAGCGAGAACCAAGGCUUCGGCCUUGGGGAAAGCGGCGAACGGGUGAGUAACACGUGGGUAAUCUGCCCUCGACAUCGGGAUAGCCCGGGGAAACCCGGAUUAAUACCGAAUGGCCCAUCAGCUUUUCGGAGCAGAUGGAAAAGGUAGCUUCGGCCUCCGGUCGAGGAGGAGCCCGCGGCGGAUUAGCUUGUUGGUGAGGUAACGGCUCACCAAGGCUCCGAUCCGUAGCUGUUCUGAGAGGACGAUCAGCCACACUGGGACUGAGACACGGCCCAGACUCCUACGGGAGGCAGCAGUGGGGAAUCUUGCGCAAUGGGCGAAAGCCUGACGCAGCGACGCCGCGUGAGGGAAGAAGGCCUUCGGGUUGUAAACCUCUUUCAGGAGGGACGAAGCCACUCGGGUUAAUAGCCCAGAGGGUGACGGUACCUCCAGAAGAAGCCCCGGCUAACUACGUGCCAGCAGCCGCGGUAAUACGUAGGGGGCUAGCGUUGUCCGGAUUUAUUGGGCGUAAAGAGCGUGUAGGCGGCCAGGUAGGUCUGCUGUGAAAACUCGAGGCUCAACCUCGAGACGUCGGCGGAAACCAUCUGGCUAGAGUCCGGAAGAGGAGAGUGGAAUUCCUGGUGUAGCGGUGAAAUGCGCAGAUAUCAGGAAGAACACCCGUGGCGAAGGCGGCUCUCUGGGACGGUACUGACGCUGAGAUGCGAAAGCGUGGGGAGCGAACAGGAUUAGAUACCCUGGUAGUCCACGCCGUAAACGAUGGGUGCUAGGUGUGGGCGGUGUCGACUCCGUCCGUGCCGAAGCUAACGCAUUAAGCACCCCGCCU
rnacentral:rRNA from 1 species